rnacentral:tRNA from 1 species
UCCCUGGUGGCUCAGACGGUAAAGCGUCUGCUUGCAAUGCGGGAGACCUGGGUUCGAUCCCUGGGUUGGGAA